rnacentral:misc_RNA from 1 species
GAUGAAGAACGUAGCGAAAUGCGAUAAGUAAUGCGAAUUGCAGAAUCCGUGAGUCAUCGAAUCUUUGAACGCACAUUGCGCCCCUUGGUUAUUCCGAAGGGCAUGCCUGUUCGAGCGUCAUUAUCACCCCUCAAGCCCUGGCUUGGUGUUGGACUUUAGUUAUAGCUUUGCCUAUCAACUGGUCUCAAAGAUAGUGACGGCGCCCCAGAGGGAACCGGGUACGAGGAGCUUUUUACUAAGCAUGUAUCUGGGACGACUCUGGGCGACGGUCUUGUUAUACUUUUUACCUAAGUGUUGACCUCGGAUCAGGUAGGAACACCCGCUGAACUUAAGCAUAUCAAUAAGCGGAGGA